rnacentral:rRNA from 1 species
AGAGUUUGAUCAUGGCUCAGAACGAACGCUGGCGGCGCGCCUAAUACAUGCAAGUCGAACGAGAAUGUGUAGCAAUACACAUGUACAGUGGCGAACGGGUGAGGAAUACAUGGGUAACCUACCCUCGAGUGGGGAAUAACUAGCCGAAAGGUUAGCUAAUACCGCGUACGCUUCCCGGACUGCGGUUCGGGAAGGAAAGCGAUACCGUGGGUAUCGCGCUCUUGGAUGGGCUCAUGCCCUAUCAGCUUGUUGGUGAGGUAACGGCUCACCAAGGCUUCGACGGGUAGCUGAUCUGAGAGGAUGAUCAGCCACACUGGCACUGCGACACGGGCCAGACUCCUACGGGAGGCGGCAGUAAGGAAUAUUGCGCAAUGGGCGAAAGCCUGACGCAGCGACGCCGCGUGGGGGAUGAAGGUCUUCGGAUUGUAAACUCCUGUUGCCCGGGACGAAAUGCUCCGACCUAACACGUCGGAGUUUGACGGUACCGGGUGAGGAAGCCCCGGCUAACUCUGUGCUAGCCGCCGCGGUAAUAC